rnacentral:ribozyme from 1 species
CGAAGCUAUGCUUGAGGCUAUGCCUGAUGAAGAAGAAGAAAACGAAUCUGAAUCUGAUGAUGAAGACCCAGCCUUGAAUAUGACCUCAUCUCAAGAAGAAAGCGAAGAUGUCGUAGACGCUGAAGCUGAGAAGCAAUCAAGGAAGCGUCGAAAGAAUUUGCGCUUAUUGAAUGGUAGUAGUGGUGGUGCUGCUUCCAAAACUCAAACAAAUCCAACAAAGCGAAAGACAUCAUCAAGAUCAUCGUCACAACAAAAAAG